UUUGAGGUACCAAUUUGUACCUCCCAGGUUCUUGUAUGCACCCUUUAGAUACAAACUUGUAUAUCUUUUAGGUGCCAAUUGUGUACCUCCGACGUACUAAUAUGCACCAUUUAGGUACAAACUUGUAUAUCUUUGAGGUGCCAAUUUGUACCUCAGAGGUACUUGUAUGCACUCUUUGGGUACAAAGUUGUGUAUCGUUUAGUUGCCAAUUUUGUACCCUCGAGGUACUUAUAUUCACCCUUAAGGUACAAAGUUCUAUAUAUUGUUUAGGUGCCAAUUUGUACCUCCGAGGUACUUAUAUUCACCCUUUAGGUACAAAGUUGUAUAUAUCCUUUAGGUGCCAAUUUGUACCUCCGAGGUACUAAUAUGCACCCUUUAGGUACAAAGUUGUAUAUCGUUUAUGUGCCAAUUUGUACCUCCGAGGUACUUGUAUUUACCAUUUAGGUACAAAGUUUAUAUCGUUUAGCUCCCAAUUUGUACCUCCGGGGUACUUGUUUGCACCAUUUAGGUACAAAGUUGUAUAUAUCGUUUAGUUGCCAAUUUUGUACCCCCGAGGUACUUAUAUUCACCCUUAAGGUACAAAGUUGUAUAUAUCGUUUAGGUGCCAAUUUUGUACACCCGGGGUACUUAUAUUCACCCUUUAGGUACCAAAUUGUAUAUAUCGUUUAGUUGCCAAUUUUGUACCCCCGAGGUACUUAUAUUCACCCUUUAGGUACCAAAUUGUAUAUAUCGUUUAGUUGCCAGUUUUGUACCGCCGAGGUACUUAUAUUCACCCUUAAGGUACAAAGUUGUAUAUAUCGUUUAGGUGCCAAUUUUGUACCCCCGAGGUACUUAUAUUCACCCUUUAGGUACCAAAUUGUAUAUAUCGUUUAGUUGCCAGUUUUGUACCGCCGAGGUACUUAUAUUCACCCUUAAGGUACAAAGUUGUAUAUAUCGUUUAGGUGCCAAUUUUGUACCCCCGAGGUACUUAUAUUCACCCUUUAGGUACCAAAUUGUAUAUAUCGUUUAGUUGCCAGUUUUGUACCGCCGAGGUACUUAUAUUCACCCUUAAGGUACAAAGUUGUAUAUAUCGUUUAGUUGCCAAUUUUGUACCGCCGAGGUACUUAUAUUCACCCUUUAGGUACCAAAUUGUAUAUAUCGUUUAGUUGCCAGUUUUGUACCGCCGAGAUACUUAUAUUCACCCUUAAGGUACAAAGUUGUAUAUAUCGUUUAGGUGCCAAUUUUGUACCCCCGAGGUACUUAUAUUCACCCUUUAGGUACCAAAUUGUAUAUAUCGUUUAGUUGCCAGUUUUGUACCGCCGAGAUACUUAUAUUCACCCUUAAGGUACAAAAUUGUAUAUAUCAUUUAGGUGCCAAUUUGUACAUCAGAGGUACUUGUAUGCACCAUUUAGGUACAAAGUUG